UUUGUCGCGUUGUUCGUGAAAUCUCACGGCUUAACUGUGAGCGUGCGGGCGAUACGGGCCGACUUGAGUACUGCAGGGGAGACUGGAAUUCCUGGUGUAGCGGUGGAAUGCGCAGAUAUCAGGAGGAACACCGGUGGCGAAGGCGGGUCUCUGGGCAGUAACUGACGCUGAGGAGCGAAAGCGUGGGGAGCGAACAAGAUUAGAUACCCUGGUAAUCCACGCCGUAAACGGUGGGUACUAGGUGUGGGUUUCCUUCCUUGGGAUCCGUGCCGUAGCUAACGCAUUAAGUACCCCGCCUGGGGAGUACGGCCGCAAGGCUAAAACUCAAAGAAAUUGACGGGGGCCCGCACAAGCGGCGGAGCAUGUGGAUUAAUUCGAUGCAACGCGAAGAACCUUACCUGGGUUUGACAUGCACAGGACGCCGGCAGAGAUGUCGGUUCCCUUGUGGCCUGUGUGCAGGUGGUGCAUGGCUGUCGUCAGCUCGUGUCGUGAGAUGUUGGGUUAAGUCCCGCAACGAGCGCAACCCUUGUCUCAUGUUGCCAGCGGGUAAUGCCGGGGACUCGUGAGAGACUGCCGGGGUCAACUCGGAGGAAGGUGGGGAUGACGUCAAGUCAUCAUGCCCCUUAUGUCCAGGGCUUCACACAUGCUACAAUGGCCGGUACAAAGGGCUGCGAUGCCGCGAGGUUAAGCGAAUCCUUUUAAAGCCGGUCUCAGUUCGGAUCGGGGUCUGCAACUCGACCCCGUGAAGUCGGAG
rnacentral:rRNA from 1 species